ensembl:lncRNA
UGCAAUGGAGCAAUGGACGUACUUUCCUUGUACUUUUCCACUUCACAAUGACAAAGAUCAGCAAAUAAUGUAGAUGCUACAGAAAAGAGCAUAGCUCUGAUCUUACCUCAGGAGUGCAGGACAAACUGCAGAACACAUAUGUUUAAGAGGUAUAUGACAAAAUGCUGCCAUGCUCCUUGAGUUGUGUUGCAAAGAAGAGUUGUGCUGUAUAUCCUGACGUCUUUUGCCAUCGUUACUGCAGUUUUUCCCUUCUGAAAUAUAGCUUUACGGAGCGUGGGAUCUACUAGAACUAGUAAAACAUAUGAAAACAGUAGUACUAUUAUCAGAACUGUAAUGAUUUGGAGCUAUAAAUGAUGGAAGAUUUAUGUAUAGAUUUCAGAGGUGGCAUUCAGGGAAACUUCCUUGAUGUCCUGCGCAGAUGUCACUGCUGACUCAUAGGUUUAGAGUUUCAUAGAAAUUAAGCGGAAGUGAAGACUCAGACACCUCGGAUUCUUGGUCAUCCUUGUUACAGUUAAAGAACGGGCUUGGAUUUGUUCCUCCAUAUCUGCCUCUUGCCUCCUGCAUUUUAGAAGGUUUGAAAACCACUGCCAGGAGGAAGUUUUUCACCCAGAGGGUGGUGACACACUGGAACAGGUUGCCCAAGGAGGUUGUGGAUGCCCCAUCCCUGGAGGCAUUCAAGGCCAGGCUGGAUGUGGCUGUGGGCAGCCUGGUCUGGUGGUUGGCAACCCUGCACAUAGCAGGGGGGUUGAAACUUGAUGAUCAUCGUGGUCCUUUUCAACCCAGGCCAUUCUAUGAUUCUAUGAUUCUAUGAUGAUUUUUUUUCCAGAAAUGAUUUCCUCUGAUGGCUGGACUUCUAACAGUAUAGAUGUACCAUACAGAAAGUUGCACGUGGACUUCAAAACUCACAUUGUUCUAAAUGUCAUGAGAAUUUCACGAGAAAUGAAAAAAAACCAGCAAUGAGCGGAGUCAUUGCAAAGGUAUUUAGACACUGUGCACAAGGCAAGAGGCCAUCUUACUACCUUUAGGAGAGUUUGAAGAUUUGGUUGUGUCUUGGCCAGUGCCAAGAAAAAAAGUGCAAUAAAAGGAUUGUGUUUAAAUCUGCAGAAACUGAGAUCCAGCCCAAAGCAAGACAGCGUGAAAAUAAGGAGCUGUGGAUCAAGCGGCUCACUGAGUGAGCUCGCCUGCCUGUUAGUCUUCACUGAAUGAAAACUGCUCACCUCACUGUGAAAGAUGCAGCAUAAAGGCUUGAUGUAGACUUGGUUCCCUCAGUGUGACCUGUAUUACCUGAGCAGAAGGAUGUCUCAUUUCUGGAUUCUGAUCAGGCUUAGGGGUGCCAGAAGAUUCUUGUUUUUUUUCUGCUGGACACAUCUUCUACAAAGCUGCUGUGGGAAGCUGGCUUAGGAUC